CUGGCUCAGGACGAACGCUGGCGGCGUGCCUAAUACAUGCAAGUCGAACGGCUUUUCUAUGGAAGCUUGCUUCCACUGAGAAGAUAGUGGCGAACGGGUGAGUAACACGUGGGUAACCUGCCCAUAAGAGGGGGAUAACAUCCGGAAACGGGUGCUAAUACCGCAUAGUUUUCUUGAUCGCAUGAUCGGGAAAGGAAAGACGGCCUUUGUGCUGUCGCUUAUGGAUGGACCCGCGGCGUAUUAGUUAGUUGGUGAGGUAACGGCUCACCAAGACGAUGAUACGUAGCCGACCUGAGAGGGUGAUCGGCCACAUUGGGACUGAGACACGGCCCAAACUCCUACGGGAGGCAGCAGUAGGGAAUCUUCCGCAAUGGACGAAAGUCUGACGGAGCAACGCCGCGUGAGUGAAAGAAGGUUUUCGGAUCGUAAAACUCUGUUGUCAGAGAAGAACAAGUUGGAGAGUAACUGCUCCAGCCUUGACGGUAUCUGACCAGAAAGCCACGGCUAACUACGUGCCAGCCGCGGC
rnacentral:rRNA from 1 species